rnacentral:rRNA from 1 species
ACUUGGGAACUUGCCUCUAGGCGGGGGACAACCACUGGAAACGGUGGCUAAUACCGCAUAAUGUCUACGGACCAAAGUGGGGGACCUUCGGGCCUCACACCUAGAGAUGGGCCCAAGUGGGAUUAGCUAGUUGGUGAGGUAAAGGCUCACCAAGGCGACGAUCCCUAGCUGUUCUGAGAGGAUGAUCAGCCACACUGGGACUGAGACACGGCCCAGACUCCUACGGGAGGCAGCAGUGGGGAAUAUUGCACAAUGGGCGCAAGCCUGAUGCAGCCAUGCCGCGUGUGUGAAGAAGGCCUUCGGGUUGUAAAGCACUUUCAGUGGUGAGGAAGGUCAGUAAGUUAAUAGCUUGCUGAAUUGACGUUAGCCACAGAAGAAGCACCGGCUAACUCCGUGCCAGCAGCCGCGGUAAUACGGAGGGUGCAAGCGUUAAUCGGAAUUACUGGGCGUAAAGCGUACGUAGGCGGUGUGUUAAGCAAGAUGUGAAAGCCCCGGGCUCAACCUGGGAAUUGCAUUUUGAACUGGCACGCUAGAGUCCUGAAGAGGGUGGUAGAAUUUCCAGUGUAGCGGUGAAAUGCGUAGAUAUUGGAAGGAAUACCAGUGGCGAAGGCGGCCACCUGGUCAGAGACUGACGCUGAGGUACGAAAGCGUGGGGGAGCA